AACGCACCUUGCACCUUUUGGUUAUUUCAAAAGGUAUGCCUGUUUGAGUGUCAUGAAAACCUCUCAUUCCAAUUCUUUAUUAUUUGAAUAUAUAAAGGGUUGUGAUAUGGAUGUUGAGUGCUGCCAUAAUUUGGCUCACUUCAAAUAUAUGAGUACUUUUAUUUUGAAGAAAUAAAUGGAUAUUUACUCAGUGUAAUAUUAACUAUUCAUUGAGGAGUGUAGUCAUUUUACUAUGACUACAGCCAUUUCACUAUUCAGAUAAAUAGCUUGCCUAACCUAUCUAUUAUUAAACUUUUAGACCUGCAAAUCAGGUUGGACUACCCGCUGAACUUAA
rnacentral:misc_RNA from 1 species